rnacentral:tRNA from 1 species
GAGGGUGUAGCCCAAUGGUAGAGUGUUUGCUUAGUAUGUGUGAGGCCUUGGGUUCAAUCCCCAGCAUCACCA